rnacentral:lncRNA from 1 species
ACUUACAGCUAAGGGACACUGAACUGGAGUUGUUUUUUGUAGGCAGAGAGAGAGAAAGCUCAGUAUCAGCAACUGAUAAUGCAGGUGGAGUAUUGGCUACAGGUAAUGGCGUUGAAGUAUUGACAGCAGGUAAUGCUGUUGUAGUAUUGACAGCAGGUAAUGCUGUUGAAGUACUGACAGCAGGUAGUGGAUUUGAAGUAUUGACAGCAGGUAAUAUGGAUGGGACAUUGUUCUGUGGUAAAACAGAAGCAGUAUUGUCAGCAUCCAGGUUAAAUGCUCUAGGUGAAGAAGGUCCAGCAUUGGAAGAAAGGUUGUGGUUUCCAUUUUCUUGAGGCACAUCAACUCCCAUAGCCUUGCUU